GUGGGGAAUCUUCCGCAAUGGACGAAAGUCUGACGGAGCAACGCCGCGUGAGUGAUGAAGGUUUUCGGACUGUAAAGCUCUGUUGUUUAGGACGAAAGUGCCUGUUGCGAACAGUUACAGGUAUUGACGGUACUAAACGAGGAAGCCACGGCUAACUACGUGCCAGCAGCCGCGGUAAUACGUAGGUGGCAAGCGUUGUCCGGAAUUAUUGGGCGUAAAGAGCAUGUAGGCGGAGAUUUAAGUCUGUUGUGAAAAUGCGGGGCUCAAACCCGUAUUGCGAUGGAAACUGAAUUUCUUGAGUGCAGGAGAGGAAAGGGGAAUUCCCAGUGUAGCGGUGAAAUGCGUAGAUAUUGGGAGGAACACCAGUGGCGAAGGCGCCUUUCUGGACUGUGUCUGACGCUGAGAUGCGAAAGCCAGGGUAGCGAACGGGAUUAGAAACCCCUGUAGUCC
rnacentral:rRNA from 1 species